GAUAGACAAUAAUAAUAAUUAUGAAACUAACAAACAGAACGAAUUCAAGGCCAAAGGGAAACUAUUUGAUAAAACAACCAACACAUUUGUGCUCAAGGUUAUUUAAUCCACACCUGUUUCGACGAGGGUGUUAUAUCGCAUCACUGACCUAACCUAACCAGGUUUAUGUAUCAGCAUAACAGAUAGCGCAACAUAAUUCGGACCUAGCGGAACUACCUCAAAACCUAUUACGACCUCUUAAUCUCUUAUACCUUUAAACUAUUUAUAAAUUUGAAUAAGGUGCAAGCGAAGAAGAAGAGUGCAUAUUUAAGUACGAGUAAUAAUCAGCGAUGCUGAAAUCUCACCCGCAGCGUAAUUGUGACCACAUCUCAUUCCUAUGAACUGGAUAAGUGCUAAAUAUGUGAACCGGUUGCAUGGUGCUUCGUCGUUGUUACAUACACUCAACAUUGGAAAGCCAGGAGGUUUGUUGGAUAUCUACCAGGCUACAUAUGCACAAUAAAAGGAGAGUAGGAUAGGUUAUGGUGAACUGACUGUCUGGCUCCUAAACCAACAGCCGAUGAUCUUCUUCCGAGCAACAUGCAACAGUUGCCAAUUUCAUAUCAUCAUCGCGAGUUUGGAACCCAUGCAGCAAAAUGAUACUCUCGUUUGCCAAAUCUCGAAAAUCCCAACCUACGACUCCCAGUAUCUAUGUACAUAUGUACUCCCAGUAUUGGUAUGGUAUUGACACUGACAUUGUGUUAGCACGUGUUUUUGCGCCUAGAAGCACCUCUGUUUAUUGCCUCCUCCUCGGCUGUUACAUGAAAAACUAUUCAUCAUCGCCCAAGAAGAAGAGAAUGAAAUUGGGAACCUGCAAAAACGGUGUUGUGGAGAGAGAUUGGUUGCAAUUUCAGUACGACGACGACAAGCAGUUGCAGCGUCAAAACAUCUAGAAGAGCUACCUCCGAGCUCUUGGGCGAUGAUGAAUCUGGAUGGCUUAUGGAUGAUGGGGUGGUGGUAAGGUAGCAGAAUUUGGCUAUGACAUGCAUAGACCAGGUAACAAUGACUAUCCAAUUCUGUUUCAGUCGGUAUUCAAUUUGAUUUCAUGCAGAAUUCAGUUCCACACAGCAGUUAUGACGAAUGGAUGAAUGAGACGAAGGCAGUGGGCAUAAACGCACAGUGGACUUUUUUCUUCCGUAUGCUGACAGUUGUCUCAAAAUCGGUGUUAUGUAAACCAAUUCUUUUUACCCUUUUAGACAUGGCAUUUAUCCGACUUACAUAAAAUUAUAUCAUGACUAGAUUGCGAUGAUCAUUGACGAUAAAAUCAUUCAUAUGCAAUCCAGCUGCAGGAAAAAAAGUUCAUCUCGUCAUCAUCAUCCUUCUUGAAUGUCACCUUUCAAUCAACACCCAUCCCGUGGGUACCUUUACUAAAGCGAUGCGUAAUUUAAAACUAAUUAACACGUGUCAACAAAUGCCAAAAUUUAUCAGUUAAAUCAGAUACUUCUUAUUUAUAUUAUUUAAUCAUGAUAAAAUUUGAUCAAAGCUAAGCUUCGCAGUCACAUGAUUCUUGUUUCUAAAUAAAUGAGAUUUUUAUUUCAAUUAGUUUUAAAUCAACGAAAGCGAUCAAUGUUUUACUUUAUUUCUACGCCAAAAUUUUACUAAUCCGCGAGGAAGAAAACAAAUUUAGGACUAUUAUCACCUCUAAAAUUUACUUUCAUACGAUUAUUAUCGCUCUUAAUGCCACGGUCAUGGUCUAGCUUUUAAUUUUAUUAACAAACUGCUGUCACGUAUAUUUGAAGUAGUUACCCAUAUUUAGAUUAUGUACAUUAGUGUACACGUGAAAACUCUUUAAAAUACUUAUCAGGUUGUUUGUUACACGAAUUGACUGGCUGACUGAAGGUGAGGACAAAUCUAGUGAUAAAUUAACGAGAUUGCGUAAAGAAUGUUGGGACAGCAGCUUGGGCUAAUGAUUG